rnacentral:rRNA from 1 species
UACGUAGGGUGCAAGCGUUAAUCGGAAUUACUGGGCGUAAAGCGUGCGCAGGCGGUUGUGUAAGACAGAGGUGAAAUCCCCGGGCUUAACCUGGGAGCUGCCUUUGUGACUGCACAGCUAGAGUGUGGCAGAGGGGGAUGGAAUUCCGCGUGUAGCAGUGAAAUGCGUAGAUAUGCGGAGGAACACCAAUGGCGAAGGCAAUCCCCUGGGCCUGCACUGACGCUCAUGCACGAAAGCGUGGGGAGCAAACAGG